rnacentral:tRNA from 1 species
GCCGGGCUGGCGAAAUGGCAGACGCGGCGGUCUUAAAAACCGCCGGAGGGCGACCUCCAUCCGGGUUCGAGUCCCGGGCUCGGCA